rnacentral:rRNA from 1 species
UACGAAGGGGGCUAGCGUUGUUCGGAAUUACUGGGCGUAAAGGGCUCGUAGGCGGCCAACUAAGUCGGAUGUGAAAUCCCCAGGCUUAACCUGGGAACUGCAUCCGAUACUGGAUGGCUUGAAUUCGGGAGAGGGAUGCAGAAUUCCAGGUGUAGCGGUGAAAUGCGUAGAUAUCUGGAGGAAUACCGGUGGCGAAGGCGGCAUCCUGGACCGACAUUGACGCUGAGUGAGCGAAAGCUAGGGGAGCAAACGGG